rnacentral:tRNA from 1 species
GGUGGAAUGAUUGGAAAGAUUAGACCCUUACGAAUGCUGAUGGAACUACAGGUCUCCUAAACCCCCGGUCGCGGGUUCGAAUCCCGCCAGGUCCACCA